rnacentral:rRNA from 1 species
ACGUAGGUGGCAAGCGUUGUCCGGAUUUAUUGGGUUUAAAGGGUGCGUAGGCGGUUUUUUAAGUCAGUGGUGAAAUACGGCAGCUUAACUGUCGAGGUGCCAUUGAUACUGGGAAACUUGAGUACUGAUGAGGUAGGCGGAAUGGACGGUGUAGCGGUGAAAUGCUUAGAGAUCGUCCAGAACACCGAUAGCGAAGGCAGCUUACUAAGGAGUAACUGACGCUGAGGCACGAAAGUGUGGGGAUCAAACAGGAUUAGAUACCCUGGUAGUCCACACUGUAAACGAUGAUUACUCGAUGUUGGCGAUACACAGCCAGCGUCUUAGCAAAAGCGAUAAGUAAUCCACCUGGGGAGUACGCCGGCAACGGUG